GCCCGUCAAGCCAUGAAAGUCGGGGGGUGCUUGAAGUACGCUUACCGCAAGGGGCGUCCUAAGGCAAAACCGAUAAUUGGGGCUAAGUCGUAACAAGGUAAC
rnacentral:rRNA from 1 species